AAUAGAAAACAUGGCCAGAAUCAAGGGUCUCAACAGCCAUAGCCAUACAAGGAUGACCAAGGAUCCACAAGGGAGCAUGCGUCCGCUAAAAGCCACCAUAGCCACACUUCCGGCAACCCAAAAUAAAAGCGAAUUGAAGCUACCUCUAGCCCACGACACACAGCAAAACGCCCCAAAUCGAGGGGCAAAGCUAAAUACACAAAGAAUGACUUACCAUUACUUCUGAGGAGGUGGAGUUUUUCCUCCCGCAGCUGUUCUUCCUCCUUCCGCAGCUGUUCUUCCUCCUUCCGCAGCUGCUCUUCCUCAUUCCGCCAAUAUUCCGCCAGACAUUGAUUGCCACUCUGAAGGGCAGAGAAAAAAGAUUCCCCAGCCGCUUGGAUCUGCGGCUCAAGAAGCGCGAUUUCAGCCUGAACCUUAGCCAAUUCCUCGUCCAUUUUGCUAUCAAGUAUGGCAGUGGCGCCCUAGAAUCGUCAGGGACCGCACGAUCUUCAUCCGACGGCCUGAUGUUUUAGACCACUAACUCAAUUAAGAGACAAAAAGCGAAAACUCAGCCAUACUUUAGUUUGUUUAAGCGGCUUCUAUUUUACAGCUUUGUACGAACUUAUCUCGUCGACGCCCCAGACGUGAGCGAAUCCAAGAAGGUGAAGGCCCACAUUGUGUUGCUGCUGCGUACCAUGGCCAAGAUCCUGCGCACCAAGCUCUCAAAUCACAGCCACAGCUGCGCACUUGCCCGAUCAAAUGCCGCACGUCCACCGCCACCACCAUUCGCUCCACCUCCAUUCUGCCCUAGCAUACUCCAAGCAAUAGUGUGCUGUUCGCCGUUCGUGUCGGCGAGAAACGAGGGUAGCAUCAAGGCAUUCCGGGAUUGUGUGGACAAGCUAUUACUGGGGGAUGCUCAGGAAGAUCAUGCUGCUGCUGCUCCUCUCCAUCCACAUCGGCCGAAGUAUGACUGAUGUUGCACGGGAGAAUUUUGAGGACAGAGAGACGUAUUACAAAUGGCUUUUCAAGGAACCUGACGAACGAUUUGAGGCUUUUCUCGAGUACGUGGAGAAAGAGGAAGAAAAGGUGCGUGGUUUUUUCCUUCCCUUUGCAGAGCGGUAACCGUGACAUAUAUAUAGUAUUUCAAAUUGGUGUUUACAGCUUCAGAAAUAGUUUCUCGUAAAGAACCGACGAACGAAACAAGAAAUUUACGGCACGAUCACAUCUCGCAAGUUGCCAAGACUUGUAGCAGCAAAGACUGCGCUAAAAACAUAGUCUGCUGAAUCCAGGGAAGCAUGUACAAAGCAAAAAGUCAUUCAUAAACUCUUAGUUUACUUCUCAUUAACUACACUUUGAUUAUGUGCUUUAAAGCUUAUCAAAAUAAUGCUAUACUUUGUUUGCCAUUUUACUAAUCUAAUACAAAAAGUGCAUUAGGCUGAUGGCAAAGCCUUUACAAAUUCCUUGUUAGAUAUAUAAGACAAAUAGCGCCCACCACAAGGAAGAAGGCAGGUGCUGUGCUAAGCUCAUGAUUGCGCUGGAGAGGGUGAUUAGCGUGGUAUUUAAAUUAUCCUCGUCAGCAGUUAUACUUCAAUUUAAGUUGUUACACUUGGAUUCAUUUGAAUAUUUUACCAAAUGCUAAAUCAACAUCAGUUUUAAAAAUAACUUAAAUGAGUAGUAUAUAUUAUUAAAAUAACGAACAUAUUGUAUUAAAAACUUUGAUUUACUGAGAAAUUUAUAUUGUAAGUAUAUAUAUAAAAAAACAGAAGCUUCAUUGUGCAUCCUCGUAGUCCACUUGAACAACAAACUGGCGCAUCUUCCCAAAUACUGCAUUUCUUUUCCCAUAGACUCCAUCUUUAUUAUUCUUGUAUUGCUGCCAUCCAGUUCCUGGAAACGUCUCUUUUGGAACACACGACCACAACCUGUAGCUUGAUCUCUUCAACGCAGCAUCCACCAUUUCUAAGCCACUCGCUUUAAAGCCGUGUUUUCCAUCCACUCUCUUGAAGACCUGAAUGAGAAUGUCUUUAUCCAUAGCAGAAUCAAUGCUCGGAAAGACUUCAGAAGUUGGUUUCACAUACUUGCCCAUCCCUAUCUUUCCUCGAAACUCACCAGCGGAACUUGCCUCUAGCAUGAUAUGAGGUCCAAUAUGAUGGGAAGUCUCAGGACCGGAGCUUCCAUCAGCGUAAACUGGCUUGAUAACAAAAUCACCACCCUUCAACAGCAGCCUAUGCACAAGAGGUUCAUAAAGCCUCCCCCACAAAGCCCCCACCCAAGAGCAGCUGAAUGUUUCUCUCAGAAAUUCCACCACACGCACAGGUCCAGCAAGCAGAUACUGAUUCGCAAGCUCUGUCAUCAAAGCCUCGCUUGCAAACUGAUAUGUCUUUUCGCUGUGGUCCUCAGUUGCCACAAUGUGGAGAAUCCAGUCGCUGACGUCUUCCACGUACCCUCCUGACAAAACCGUGCCCGCUCUGGAUACACUUGUUCCGAACAACACAACCGCAGUCUUGGCCAUGGCCUUCACCUCAUCCAGCUUUGUUGCACGCAGUACAUACCUAGGAACUCCACCCAAAUAAUCGAAGUUGUCAAACCCUUCCUUUCUGUCCACCACAUUCAUGUUCCCGUAACUAGUUCGGUAAGGCUCAAAGUCGUCAAGGAAUUUCCCAAUCUCCUCCCUAGACCACACCGACAUAUAAAGCAUGCAACAAAGCCCCCCUUUGCCAAACUUACCGUAAUUUUUCUUCCUAGAUGAGGGAACCAAAAGAACUCGACAUCUGCGAGGUAAAGGCGCCUUCUGCUUCCCAUCUAUUACUAGCCACAUUGACGGAUCGUCCAGCAUUUCGCAUAUAAUUUGGUCACUCACGUCAUAACGACCUUCAGCACACCGCCUUCGCAAAUUCAGGAUGUAGACAAACUUCCCAUCCUUGUAUAAUACCUUUUCAUGCCCCAUUUGACCCAGCCUAAUAAUCCAGUGGUAGCCAAAGAACGUUUUCCCUAUCCCUGCAGUGCCUAGGACGAUGAAAGAAGUGAAGUUGUUGAGCUGCUCCAGGAUUUUUGAUUCUAGACUCGCAUACGCCUUUCGUUUCCAUAGCAGGAAAGGUUGGCCAUAAUCAUCGCUAUCUAGAAUCCAGAAUUUAGAAUCUGGAGUAUCAGUAGCCCUUACAAGGGCCGCCACACCAGUUGGUACACCUGAAGCAAGAUACGAAUCCAUGGAUCAGACAAGAACUGCUACAAGCAGGCAAAUACCGCUCUGUGAGGAGAACUGAGCAAACUCUAGUGUGAGGGUGGAAAACUUCAAACGACGGCAAAACAGUCAUCCCAGAGGGAAGAGCUCUAAGCCGAGGAAGACACAGGCAGCAUUAAUAGAACGCAAGGGGCCACAUACCAAGCAGAUGGCCAUGAAUUCAAUUACAACCACAAGCCAGACACAAACACCCAAGACCAAAUCCAACAGCGACACCAUCAGAAGCAAGACCUUGCGCCCGAUUUCAUGGCGCUCCAGGAAUACCAAGAACUGGACAAAAAAUGGGACUUUCAACAUCACAGAUCAAAGAGAAAACAAGGGGGAUAUGCAAGGAAACAAAGGGCUUUCACAAUUGCUUACCAAAUCGGCGGAUUCCAUGGGGCACUGCAACAUUCAGAACAUAACAAAGUUAGUAUUAUCAAUAGAAAACAUGGCCAGAAUCGAGGGUCUCAACAGCCAUAGCCAUACAAGGAUGACCAAGGAUCCACAAGGGAGUAUGCGUCCGCCAGCAGCAAAGCCAAAAGCCACCAUAGCCACACUUCCGGCAACCCAAAAUAAAAGCGAAUUGAAGCUACCUCUACACAGCAAAACGCCGCAAAUCGAGGGGGAAAGCUAAAUACUUACCAUUACUUCUGAGGAGGAGGAGCUUAUCCUCCCGCAGCUGUUCUUCCUCCUUCCGCAGCCGCUCUUUCUCAUUCCGCAGCUGCUCUUCCUUCUUCCGCCAAUAUUUUGCCAGAGAU
rnacentral:lncRNA from 1 species